UCACGGAGCCGGCUCAGUCAAGGAGGGGCUCCGGGUGCACGCCGAUUGCCUCCAGAGAACGUGACUAAAGCGUACCCAGGACCUUGUUACAGACCGGAUCCAAUCAAAGGUCCAAAUGUUUUACAGAAUAAUGGGAGUGAGUUAAGGGCUGGAAUCUCAUCGAAGGAUUCAGGCGAUUUAUUUAUAGAAUAAUGGACAGCUAGCGUGAGUAAUAGACUGGAGUCUUAUUAAAAUAGUUCGAAAUUGAUUCUAUAUUGAAUAAUAGAUAUCCUUUAAUGCGCUGAAAGCUCGGAUAUAAUUAAUGCGCUUCUGCACCCUGUGAUCAUCACUAUCCAGUCCUGCAUUUUUCGCCCGUGGCAACUGGGUGUCUGGCUGGGUUUACCAGAGGCAACCACUUUGUCGCCGGGUCCGGAGUCAACGUGUUUGCCCAACCGGGUCAGGACGGCAGGUUGACUUUUUUUCUGAGGGGCCCGGACGGAGCCCCGGGUUUGGUGGUCACUGCCGCCACGAACAAGAGGAGGCAGUGAAUCGAGACCAGCAGGCAACCUGCUGGAGGAACAAGGCGACUCCGGCGGUAUCUGUGGGGAGAGCGGGGGCAGGGAGGAAGUGUAUUUGUUCACCUCAUUUAUUAAAAUGAAUUUGAGUUCAACAGCGAUCAUCAUAGGAUUGGAACCGAGUUCUGUUGUUUGUUUAGUGCAGCCCUCUAGAUCAUCAGCCCUGGUAACACCAUCGUCACUCCUAUUCAAACCAGGUUUUCAAGUGAGGAUUAGAGGUCGACCAGUAAUCACCAUAGAGAGGGCUACAGUCUGGAGUCUGACCUAUUGAGGAAGUCCCAGAGGGUAUUUACAUAGUACCCGCUUAGUACUGCACCCACAGUGUUGAUUUGUUCUUGGAUCUGGGUCAAUGCUGCACCAGGAACAUGGUACAAAUAGGGCAGGGUAGCGUGGUGGUUAGUGUAAGGCCCACGACCCGCGUUCAGAUCUGCCGCUACCUGCAAGGAGUUUGUACGUCCUCCCCGUGACCAUUAGGGUUUCCUCCACAAGCUGCGGUUUCCAAAGACAUAUGGGUCAGUCGGUGAUUUGGUCACAUGGGUGGCACAGGCUCACUGGGGCAGAAAGACCUGUUACCAUCCUAUAUCUCCAAAUAAAUAAUUUUUAAAAACCUGCCACCUGGAUGUGCUGAGACUGCCUGUGAAGUGUCACGCGGGACCACUUUGCCCUGUGGUGUGGGGCUCAAGGCCCACACCUCCAAUUGGAUGGGAUGGAAGCUGCAGCCAGAGGCCACCAGAGAGCCUAAACAGCAGGGAAUGACUCUGCUCCGUGCCAAGGAGCAUUCCCAUCUAAACUGCUCCCAUUGCCGGCAUUUGGCCUGGUACUCCCUCAAUGUGCUGUUGUAAUGCAUUGAUCUGUAUGCUUUGCACAUGAACGUACCUCAGUUCAUGUGCCAACAAGAAAACUAUUUACUAAUUAAUUUAGAACAUAGAGCAGAACAGCACAGCCCAGGCCCUUCAGCCCAGGAUGUUGUGACAACCUUUUAAUUUACACUACAGUAAUAUGACCAUUCCCCCCUGCAUAGAGCUUUCCAUUUUUCUAUCAUCUAGAUGCCUAUCAAAGAGACUCUUCAAUGUCCAUAAUGUACCUUCCUCUCCCACCACCCCAGCAGAGUGUUCCACGCUUCCACCACACUGGACAAGGUCUCUGCCUAUCCACUCCUAAUAUCUUGUACUCCUCAGGGCCAUACUUUCUGAAACCAUUUAAAAAAAUCUAGAGUUUUGCACAAUACUGUAGUUCCCUGAAAGCAUUGACAGUUUGGGGAGAACCAGUUAGCAUGUUUGCCUUUACCAGUCUGUGCAUUUAGUAUGACAGCUGGGAUAUCAUGUUACAAGAUAUUGGUGAGACGACACGGAGUACCGAGUGUAGUUUAGGUUGCCCGGCUGUAGAAGGACGUCAUUAGGCUGUAAAGAGUGCAGGAAAGAUUCAUAUGGAUAUUGCUGGGACUUGAAGGCUUGAGUUUGAAACGGGAUAGCUUAGGGCUUUCUUCCCUGGAGGGUAGGGGUGAUCUUAUAGAAGUUUAAAAGAUCAUGAGGGGCAUGGGAUGAUUCUUAGAAUGGGAGUUCCCAGCCUGAGGUCCGUAUUACUAGCUGGGCUCCAUGCAUGAAGCAGGUUGGGAACCCUGUAAGGGAGCUUGAAACUAGAAUGAGAGAGGAAAAUGUUAAUGAAGACCUCAGGGCAACUUUUUUGCACAUAGAGGGUAGCGGGUAUAUAGAAUGAGCUGCCAGAAGAAGUGGUAGAGGUGGGUACAAUUACACAGUUUACAAGCCAUUUGGACAGGCAUGUGGAUAGAAAAGGUUUGGAGGGAUAUGGGCCAAAUGCAGAGAAAUUGGACAAUUUCAGGUCAGUAUGGACAAGUUGGACUGAACUUUGUGUGCUGUGAAACUCAAUAACUGAGGUCAGUAGGUAUGUUCACCCUGAGCAGCGGGGUGAUUCAGUGAUGGGAGAAGACAAAGUUCCAGGCACUACACUGUGCACUAACAAGUGCCCACCAGGGUACCAACACAUCAGCAUUGUCAGUAAUAAACCUUUUUUUGCAUAAAAUGCUAUAAAACUCCCCUUUUAAUACUGAUUAUAUUAAUGCUGUCAUAUCUGAGAUUGCAAGCUAAUAGUGUAGAAGUUGGUGUAUAAUCUAGGGGUCUGGGUGAUCUAUGCUCGCAGAAUAAUGGGCAGAUGUGUAUGCAUGGGUGAGUAAUCCAAUCCAGUUCAGGUUGGGUUUAUACAUUAUAAAUGGCCCAUAGAGACACUGGCUGGAACUCAAUCAAAGACAUCAGAUAAAUUCUAUAGAGUAUAAUGUUUCCUCGCGAUAAGCUGGAUUCUAAUUGAGAGAUGGUGAUGAUUUGUAUAAGGAAUAAUGGAGAGAUGAGUAAUGAAUCUGAAAAUUGGAAUAUGAAAACAGCAAAGAAUGACUAAAAUGAAUUAGAAUGAGGCAGAUUUGGCUGGGAAUCUGAAAAGAGAUGCUAUGAGUCUCUAGUUAUUUAAAGAUGAGAAGAAUGAUCUAAGUGAGCGAUGGUCCUUUAGAAAGUGUUAACGGGAAUGAAUAAUGGAUAACAAGGGACUGACAGAUGAGUUUUCACUCUCCUGCAGGGAUUCUCAACUUGGAAUCCAUGGAACUUUUGGUUAAUGAUUGGGGUUCAUAGCACAAAAAAUUGGGGUCACCAACUCUAGUAGAAUAUCUAGAAAUCUCCUGGAAAUAAUGUAUAUCGGAAAUCGACAGAGAGAGGGGACUCGGAGAAAUUAUGAUCGCCAGAGAUGUUAAACCAGCAAACUGUUAAGAGCUGCAUAUUGCUGAUUCUGGUACCUGAUUGACUUCAUCCUCGGUUCUUAAAAGAUAUACGUGAAGAGUUGUUUUUAAUUUUCCACAAUUCUACAUUUAGGGCAGAUUCUUUUAGAUUGAAAAAUGGUAAAUGCAACUCAUUGCUUCAUGGUCUUUGUAGAAUCACUUGAUUCUGGCAUGGUUCUGGAGGACGGGAAGAUUGCAAAUGUCACUCCACACUUUAAGAAGGGAGGAAGGCAAAAGAAAGGAUAGUAUAAGCCAGUUAGCCAACCUCAGUGGUUGGGAAAGUGUUGGAGUCUAUUAUUGAGAAUGAGGUUUCGGGUGCUUGGGGACUAAUAAUAAAGUCAGUCAAAGUCAGCAUGGUUUCUGUAAAAGGAAACCUUGCCUGUCAAAUCUGCUAGAGUUCAACAAGGAAGCAACGAGUAGGGUGGACAAAGGAGAGGCAGUGGAUGCCAUUUACUUGGUUUUUCAGAAGGCAUUUCUUAAGGUAUUGAACAUGAAGCUGCCUAACAAGAUAAAAUCCUAUGGUGUUACAGGAGAGAUACUGGCAUGGAUAGAGGAAUGGCUGACAGGCAGGAGGCAGUGGGUGGUUAUAAAAGGGACCUUUUCUGGUUGGCUGCCGGUGACUAAUGGUGUUCCUCAGGGUCAGUAUUGAGACUGCUGCCUUUCACACUGUUUGUCAGUGAUUUAGAUCAUGGAAUUGAUGGCUUUGUGGCAACGUUUGUGGAUGAUACGAAGAUAGAUGGAGUGGUGGUAGUGCUGAGGAAGCAUGCGAUUGCAGCAGGAAGAAUGGGCAACAAAGCAGCAGAUGGAAUACAGUGUUGGGAAGUGUAUGAAAAUGCAUUUUGGUAAAAGGAACAGUAGUGCGGACUAUUAUCUAAAUAGGGAGGAGGUUCAAACAUCAGGAGUGCAGAGGGACUUGGGAGUCCUCAUGCAAGGCUCCCGGAAUAUUAAUUUAUGGGGUGAAUCUGUGGUAAAGAAGGCAAAUGCCAUGUUGCCAUUUAUUUCAAGGAGAACAGAAUAUAAAAGCAAGGAGAUAGUGCUGAGCCUUUAUAAGACACUAGUCAGGCCGCAUUAGAAGUAUCGUCAGCAGUUUUGGACCUCUUAUCUCAGAAAGGAUGUGUUGUCAUUGGAGAUAGUCCAGAGGAGGUUCAUGAGGAUGAUUCUGGGAAUGAAGGGGUUAACAUAUUAAGAGCGUUUGGCAACUUUGGGCCUGUGCUCACUGGAAUUUAGAAGAAUGUGGGGGGAUCUCAGUGAAAACUUACCAGAUGUUGAAAGAACUAGAUAGGGAGGAUGUUUCCUAUGGUGGGGGUAUCCAGAAUUAGGGGCACAGCCUCAAAACUGAGGUAAGGGUAAGUUUUUUUAGCCAGAGAGUAGUGAAUCUGUGCAAUGCUCUGCCACAGACUGCAGUGGAAACCAAGUCCAGAAGUUGAUCAUUUCCUGAUCGGUCAGGGCAUCAAAGGAUAUGGCAAGAAGGCAGUGUAUGAGGUUGAGUGGGAUCUGGGAUCAGCAAUAAUGGAACGGCAGAGCAGACUUGAUAGGCUGAAUGGCCUAAUUCUGUUCCUACAUCAUAUGGUCUUAUAAAGGGAGGGAGACAGAAAGCAGAAAAUACAGAGCAUAAACGAGAGAAAAUCUGCAGAUGCUGGAAAUCCGAGCAACACACACAAAAUGCUGGAGGAACUCAGCAGGCCAGGCAACAUCUAUGGAAAAGAGUACAUUCGACGUUUCGGACCGAGACCCUUCAGCAGGACAGGAGAAAAGAAGUUGAGGAAGGUGCGCCUUCUAAAUGCAUGGCAUAAGGUUGGUCGCAGGAUACAUGAUAGUAUUAAAAGCAUUGAAAAAUUUAAGGUAAUCAAGAGACAUCAACAUUGUUUUGGGAAAGGGAAGUGUCACCAAGUUAUUGGAAUAUUUUGAAAAAGUAACAUGUACAAAGGAGAUCUGGUACAUGUAGUAUAUUUAGAUAUCCAGAAGCAAUUUGAUCAGUUACAAUAUCAGAUUAUUGCAGAAAAUAAAACCUUAUCGUUUAAGAAGUAAAGCAUUUUCUGGUGAGCAAGAGGUAGUGAGUGGUGUGUUAUAAAGAUUGGUGCUGGGACCUCAACUUCUUAUAAUUUCAAUACAUGACGUGAAGGCAUCAAAGGAGUGGUGUUAAAUUUACUGAGGUAGGAAGGAAAGCAAGCCAUGAAGAGGACAUAACAAGGCCACAAAAGACAGAACAUACUUGAACAGAGAAUAUAGACUUGUUCUACAUACAAACACAUAUAAAGAAUAAUUAUAAAUAGAUUGUGGAGAGAGAUCUGGCCAAUGGGAAAAUGUGAAGCUACAAACAGAGAAUGCUGGAUGAACUCAGUAAGUCAGGCUGCCCCUCCAACAAUACUGCCUGAUUUACUGAGUACCUCCAGCAUGUUGUGUGCGUUUGUCAAGGUCUCCAGCAUCUCUUGUGUUUGGAGAAGUGUGAAAUCGUGCUUUCAGACAGGAACAAUUUUUAAAAAUGUACAUACUGUAUUUCCUCCUGUGGGAGAAUCCAGAACUGGAGGCCAUUGUUUAAAAUUAAUGUUCAGCCAUGAAAGGCAAGAGAUGAAAUCUUUUUCUUUCAGAGGUUGUAAGUCUUUCAGCACACUUUAUCCUUCCAUGCAGCGCCAUUUUACACAUACACUCCACACCUCAUACCUACAGACAGUCACAGUCCUACUGUGUCUUCACAUGCCCUGCUGCUACCUAGAAGAGUUUCUCUUGCCAAGUCACUUUCUCAUUUCCUCUCAGUCACCUUAUGUUCAAAUACUCCUGCACCUUGUAUCACUUCAUGUACAUAAUAAUCAAGUCUGCGAGGCUAAGCUAAUCUUACGUCUAUAUGGCCACACUCUGUUACUUCUGCAUUGUUUUAUAGGACUGCUUCUAUUGAGUUUUUAUUUUUUUAAUUGUGUUCUUCACGCUUAUUGUGACUUUUAAAUGCUGCUUCAGAUUCAGAAAAACAAUCAUUUUGUUCUUCUUUACACUUGAAAAUUGAAGAAUACAUAUUUUUUGGGACUGCCCUGUUAUCAAAAACUAUUGGAGGGGGAUACACAAUGCCCUACAAGACAUCUUUAAAUGUGAAAUACCCUUGGAGAGUAAGACCAUAUAUUUUGGAUAUAUACAUCAAGAACGGUUGAAAAGAGAUAAAUAUUUAAUGAAUAUACUGUUGGUGGCUGGUAAAAAGACACUUACUAGGAAAUGGUUAUCACAGGCAAGCCCAACUUUAAAUACAUGGAUGGAAAUUACAAUGGACAUUUACAAAAUGGAGUAGAUAACAGCAUCUGUUAAUCAUAAGCUGGAACAAUUUGAUUUAUACUGGGAAAAAUGGUUUAACUACAUAAUGCUUCAUAGGCCUGAUUUUAUUCUCACAAAUCAAUGAAUCUGUUGUAAAAAAAAAUCACUCCCUACUUGUACAUAGUUCUUUCCUUUUGCUUGUUUUUUCUUUCCACUCUUUUCUAUUAGUGUAUACCUCAGAUAAAUACUUUGUGGGGAUUUGUGAUAUAUAUGAUAUAUAUGUACAAUGUCUGAAAUACAGCUUAUGGAAAUGUUUGUUUGAUGAUGAACUUCAAUAAAAAAAUAAAUUACAAAAAAAAAGAAAAUUGAAGAAUAAUAAACUAUCUUGAAUUUUUUCAAAAGCAGUAAAGCAGAAUUUUUGAACAUUAAGACAAUGGUAUAUAGAUUCUUGAUAAGUUCUCACUAAGCAAGGGGUAGGGAGGAAUGUAAGUUGAAUCACAAGAGACUGCAGGUGCCGGAAUCUGGACCAACAGAAAAAGUGCUAGAGAACUCCAGCUCAGGCUGCUUCUCUAGGGGAAAAUAGACAGUGGACAUUUUGGGUUGAGAUCUUUCAUCAGGACCGUACUGAGGUUAUAAGCAGGUCAGCUAGGACUUUAUUGAUUAGUAAACAAUUUUCAAGUGCUCAAUGGCCUCUACCUGCACAGAAUUACUUCACUCAUGUGGAAUUUUAUUCCAGAUUAUGAGCUAAUUAAGAGAUUCAGAUACAUUUCAUACAUAACAAUGUAUAUCUGUGAGCUUGUUACUGAUUUAUGUAAUAUAGAAAAAUAUGUGUAUGAGUUCAGGUAACAAAAAUAUUUGAUUGAAAAAUUCAGUUCAGAUUUAUGGAAUAAUUUUCUUCUGCAUUGGCAGUCACCUAGAAUUGAGAACGAUUGCUUCACUAACAUGAACAAUAGAAGAUACUGUAUCUGCAUGUUGGCUACUUUAGCAUGAAGGGAUCUGUUGCAGCACAAGCAUAACAAGUUGAGGUCUUGGUCUGAUGGCAAGGGAGUCCAAGAUGAUUUUAAAAAAUCGCCAUUGAAUGAACUUUAACACACAAAGGGCUACCAAAGCACUAAUCACAUUCAGACACCUACUAACACUCUUAAUGUUCCUUCUGUGUGCGAGAUCAGGCCAUACUGAAUAGGACUGCAUUUUCUUCCUGCUCCCAUUUGUAACAAGAGUUGUAGUCAAAAUCCUGUUUAAGGGAAGCAAUUAUUCCAGGUGGAGAAUAAUUGGUAGCAAGGUUGGAAUCUGACUUGGAGAUUCAGCUGACUUAUUUCGACUGUAAUAGCUACCUGGGAGCAAAGACUAAAUUUCACUAUUUCGAGUAACAUCCACAGCUAUAACACUGAGCCUCUGACAGUCUGAUAAUGAGCAUUUCCUCAGAGUUCAUCAGAUAUAUAAAAGGUUAAUGCAGGGAAUCACUGCUCAAGCAUAUGUUGGACGAUAUUCAUCAAGCGUUAUAUCAGUUUAGGAUUAGUCGUGCUUUAUUUUCUGAUUUGCUUGAGAUUCUGGGUUGAUUGACAACUGUCAAUGAAGAUAGAAAGAGGCAACAAUUAUACCAGUGCCUGAGAAAAGUAGUGUGAGCUGCCUUAACAACUAUCGCCCAGUAGCACUCACUUCUACAGUGAUGAAGUGCUUUGAGAUGUUGGUCAUGGCCAGAAUCAACUGCCACAGCGAGGAGUUGGACCCAUUGCAAUUUGCCUAUCGCCACAAUAGGUCUAUGGCAGAUGCAAUCUCAAUGGCUCUUCACACAGCCUGGAAUCACCUGAACAACACAAACACCUAUGUCAGUAGGCUGUUUAUUGACUAUAGCUCAGCGUUUAACAUCAUCAUUCCCACAGUCUUGAUCGAUAAACUACAGAACCUGGACCUCUCUACCUCCCUCUGUAAUUGGAUCCUUGACUUCCUAAGCAGAAGACCACAAUCUGCACAGAUUGUUGUUAAUACCUCCUCCUCAAUGACAAUCGACACUGGUGUACCCAGGGGUGUGUGCUUAGUCCACUACUCUUCUGUCUCGAUACACAUGACUGGGUGGCUAGGCAUAGCUCAAAUACCAUCUAUAAAUUUACUGAUGAUUCAACCAUUGUUGGUAGAAUCUCAGAUGGUGACGAGAGGGCGUACAGGAGUGAGGUAUGCCAACUAGGGGAGUGGUGCCGUAGGAACAACCUUGCACUCAACGUCAUUAAGACGAAAGAGCUGAUUGUGGACUUUGACAAGGAUAAGACAAGGAAACACUAACCGAUCCUCAUAGAGGGAUCAUAAGUGGAGAGAAUGAGCAAUUUCAAGUUCCCAGGUACCAAGAUCUCUAAGGGUCCAAUCUGGUCCCAAAAUAUCAAUGCAGCUAUAAAGAAGGCAAGACAGUGGCUAUAUUUCAUCAGGAGUUGGAAGAGAUCGGGUUUGUCAAUUAAAACACUCGAAAACCUCUAUAGAUGCAUCAUGGAGAGCAUUCUGACAGGCUGCGUCACUGUCUAGUUGGGGGGGGGGGCUACUGCACAGGAUCAAAAGAAGCUACAGAUAGCUGUAAAAUUAGUCAGCCCCAUCUUGGGUACUAGCCUCCGUAGUAUCCAAGACAUCGUCAAGGAGUGGCGCCUCAGAAAGGCAACAUCCCUUAUUAAGGACCCCAUCACCCAGGGAAUGACCUCUUAUCAUUGUUACCAUCAGAGAGGAGGUACAGAAGCCUGAAAGCACACACUCAGUGAUUCAGGAACAGCUUCUUGCCCUCCACCAUCCAAUCCCUAAAUGGACAUUGAACCCAUGAACACUACCUCACUUUUAAUAUUUCUGUUUUGCACUAUGUUUAAUCUAUUCAAUAUACAUAUAUAUUUACUGGAAUGGUUUUAUUUAUUUAUUUAUUUUUAUUUCUAUAUUAUGUGUUGCAUUGAACUGCUGCUGCUAAGUUAACACAUUUUGCGACCCAUGCCAGUGAUAAUGAACCCGAUUCUGUUUCUGAUGUUAGGUCUGUGAUUGGAAUCCCUAAGCGCUAGAAAUCCAGGUUAUCAUUAAAUAGCACUUGGAUGGAAGAUUGCUGAAGUCAAUUGCAACCCUUGACCUGACAUAGACGUAACAUAGAGUCAUAGAGCACUACUGCAGAAAACAGGCCAUCUGAACUGUUAUUCUGUCUAGUCCCAUCUACUUGCACUGGAUCAUAGCCCUCCAUACUCCUUGCAACAUCUUUUAUAUGUUACAAUUGAACCACAUCCACUGCAUCUGCUGGCAGCUUGUUCCACACUCUCACCACCCUCUGACUUAAAAAGUUCCCCCUCAUGUCCCACUUAAAUAUUUCACCUUUUAGCCUUAUUACUUUAAAUUUCAACCCUAAACAUGAUCUUAUUUGCAACUCAUACAGGAAACAAUCUAUUCUGGAGACAUUGGGGAUUGUAGUUGCUAUCUACUGAAUCCAUUCUCUUUGGGAUCCAUUUAUAUGAUUCAUGAUUGCUUCUUGAUGGCUGUUUGAUUCCUCAGGAUGCAAGAAGCUGAUUUAUAUCUAUUGGGUGCCAGAAGUUUUAAUUUCUGACCUAGAAUUAUGAUAUCAAGGAUUAUUGGGGGCAUUCUUCUGGGAAGUUUUCCCACAGGGCAGGCAGUCUUGGGUUGCCAGUUUGGGUCACCAUCUACAAUUGGAAUAUCAAAACCAGACUCUUAUGUGCUUUAUUAAGGACUAGAAAAUAUAUUUUAUUUACAUCCAUGACAGACCAGCCCUUUAAAACCAUUUAGAUGUUAUUAAGUGUCAUUUCUAACAGUGGAACUAGACCUUUGAAAGAGCCAUCUGUUUUUUCCCCAUUUUCUGCCACUCCAGAGCCCUACAAAAAAUUCUCCCAUUACUUAUUUACCGAAUUAUUUUAAAAGUAAUUAUUAAAUUUGCUUCUGUUACUCCUACAUACAAUAGCUCUGCUUUAAAAUGCCAAGUGAAAUUGUACCCAAACAGUAGAGAAUGCUGCAGUUUGUACACAGCAAGUUCCUAAGUUUAAAAAAAGCAAUGAUAUACUUUAAUAAAAACACAAAAUGCUGGCAGAACUCAGCAGGCCAGACAGCAUCUAUGGGAGGAGGUAGUGACAACGUUUAGGGCCGAAACCCUUCAUCAGGAGGGUUGAUGUACUUCAUCAGAUUUUAAGAUCUGCUGACAUUGACCAAAGGUAUUGAUUGUGGAGAAUAUCUCUGUUUAAAUCAUGGUGCAAGAUGUGUUAUGCAUGCCUGGUAAAGCAGACAGUGCUUUGAUUUGAUGUCUCAUGCAAAAGACACCACCUCCAGCAGUGGAAUACUCCCGCACUGUGGUACUAAAAUGCCAACCUCGACUACAUGAUCAAUCUGUGUUCGAGUGGGAUUUUAACCCACAAUCUGACUCAGAGGCAGGAGCUUCACUGAAAUAUUGCACUUCUUGAGAAGGAGUUCUGAUGUCUUCUCUGCUAAAAGAGUGACUGAAUUCUUUGCCAGGCACAAAGAAUUGUCAAGAUGGCAAGUAGGAUGCACAAGCAAGAAAAAAAUCUGCAGACGCUGGAGAUCAAAGUAAUACACAUAAAAUGCUGUAGGAGCUCAGCAGGCCAGACAGCAUUUGCGAAAGAGAGUGAACAGUCAAUGUUUUGGGCUGAAACUCUUCUUCAGGACAAUGUGUUUCUCAGCAUUGCAGUUAAUAUACAUCCAGGGAAUCUGACACAAUUGGAGGAGCGGUCAGGAAGAUUCUCAUUCCUUCUGCAAUCCCAGGGGUUGGCAAUAACUUCUAAUGCUUCGCAUAUGUGUUUCUAUUAGGCAGUUACAUUUCCAGAGGCAUAACAUACUCUAAAUCACUCGAGCUUUGAUCUCCCAGUUGAGCAGAAAUGAGCAAUAUAACUGAGAGCUUCUAAGAAAACCUACGCGUUUUGAAGUUUUUUUUUAACCAUUGGUUUAUACUCGCCUCCUGAGUGUUAUGACAUGUGUAGGAUAGCUGAGGCCUGUUGAAGAUUGGUGUUUUGUUGUUACCUCUAACAGUUAGCAUCCAUCAGUGAAUAAGCUACCUCUUUCAAUUCAGCUAGAAAUACCCACCUUCACUGACAUGCUUGAGUGAACAAGCAAAAAUGAUGUAGGAAAUGACUAGAUGAACCAUUAGCACUGACCUCUCCCCCUCCCCAACACCACAAAAGAUCAUGACAGCUAGUAUAUUAUGGCAAGGCAUUUCUGGAGAAGGGCCUAAUCUGGAAAAGUUAACUCAGAUUCUUGCUCCACAGAUUCUGCCUGACCUGUUAAAUGUUUCCAGCAAUUUUUUAACUUUUGCUUCUAAUUUCCUAUUUUCAUUUUUUUUCUUCAAAGAUUAAACAGACUCUGCUGGCUCCUUUCCAGCGACCCAAUGCUGAUAUGAAUCACUUUUAAUUAGGUCUUCCCUCAGAGGUGUGUGCUUAGCCCACUGCUUUACUUUCUCUACACCCAUGACUGUGUGGCUAGGCAUAGCUCAAAUGCUAUCUAUGAAUUUGCUGAUGAUACAGCAGAAUCUCAGAUGGUGACGUGAGGGCACACAGGAGUGAAAUAUACCAGCUAGUCCAGUGGUGUUGUUGCACCAACCUUGCACUCAAUGUCAGUAAAACCAAAGAGCUGAUUGUAGACUUCAGGAUAGGUAAGAUGAGGGAACACACCCCAAUCCUUACAGAGGGAUCAGAAGUAGAGAGAGCGAUAAAUUUCAAGUUCGAGUGUUAAUAUCUCUGAGGACCUAAUCUGGUCCCAACAUAAAGAAGGCAAGACAGUAGUUAUAUUUUGUUAGGAGUUUGAGGAGAUUUGGAAUGUUACCUAGAACACUUGAAAACCUCUACAGGUGUACAAUGGAGAGCAUUCUGACUGGUUGCAUUACCAUUUGGGGUGGGGUGGGGGCUACUGCACAGGAUCAAAGUAAACUGCAGAGAGUCAGCUCCGUAUUACCCUCCAUAAUAUCCAAGACAUCGUCAAGGAGUGCUGCCUCUAUCAUUAAAGACCCCCACCCAGGACAAACCCACUUCUCACUGUUACCAUCAGGAUGGAGGUGCAGAAGCCUGAAGGCACACACUCAGUGAAACAUUCUUUCCUUCUGCCAUCUAAUUUUUGGAUGGACAUGAAACCUCACUUUUUUAUUUAGGUUUUUGCACUACUUAUUUAACUAUUUGAUAUACUGUACCUAGACAUAUGGAUACAUGUAUAUGUAUCUGUAAUUCAUGGUGUUUGUUUCUAUUUUAUUAGGUAUUGCAUUGUACUGCUGCUGCAGAGUUCACAAAUAUCGCAACAUAUGUCAGUGAUACUAAAUCUGAUUCUGAGGAUCAAGAAUCAAGAAUCUGAUUCUGAGGAUCAAGAGGUUUCCACUCCAAUACUUUGGGUUCUAAAACAGAUGAUGCCACCGUGGGGCUUUCUGAGUCUACUGGAGGGAGAAGAAACUUAAAAGGGAUAGGCAAUAUGGGAGGUGAUGCAUUUCCUCCACCAUUUAUAGCAAGCUUUUGUGAUUUGGGCCCCAGUAUUGAGGAUGCACGGUCUGGGAGAGGAUAUUUACUUUUCCUGUCAAUGGAUUUAUAGAGUCAUAGAGCACUAUUGCAUGGAAACAGGCCUUUCAGCCCAUCGUACCUAUACCAUCUUGUUUGACUGCCCUCCAUACCCUUCUCAUCCAAGCUUCUCUUAAAUGUUACAUUUGAAGCUGCAUCCCACUUCUGUUGGCAGCUCAUUCUGCACUUUCACUGUCCUCUGAGUGAAGCCCGCAUGUAUUUACUCUAUUUAUACAUCUCUAAUUUUACAUAUUUCCAUAAGAUCUCCUAUCAUUUUCCUACACUCCAGGAAUAAAGUCCAAACAUAUUUAACCUUUAUCAAUAACUCAGGUCCUCAAGUCCCAACAACAUUCUUGUAAAUUUUCUCAGUACUCUUUCAAACUUAUUGAUAUCAUUCCUGUUGGUAACAAACCAGAACUGCACACAGUACGACAAAUUUGGUCUCACCAACAUCGUAUACAACUUCAACAUAACAUCCCAUCUCCUGUAUUCUCUCUUUAUGGCCUUGUCUACUCUUGAUGCCACUUCCAAAGAAUUAUGGAUUUGUACUUCCAGGUCCCUUUGUUUUUCUGCACACAUCAGUGCCCUACCAUUCACUACAUAAAUCCUGCCCUGGUUUGUCCUGCCAAAGUAUAAUACCUCACACUUGUCUGCAUUAAAUUCCAUUUUUCAGCCCAGUUGUUCAGCUGGUCCAGAUCCUGCUGCAAGCUUUAACAACCUUCCUCACUGUCCUGGUCUCAUCAGCAAAUUUCCCAAUCCUUUUUACCAUAUCAUCUAAAUCAUUAAUGUGGAUGAUAAGCAACAAUGGAACCCAGCACGAAUCCCUGCGGCACACCACUAAAAGCAGGCCGUGAAUCAGAGACAGCCAUCGUUUACUACCACGCUGUCUUCUCCUGUUCAGCCAUUGCUGAAUCCAAUUUGUUACUACUUCACCCUGAAUGUUAAGUAACUUAACCGAACAAACCAGCCCCCCCAUGUGGGACUUUGUCAAAGGCUUUGCUGAAGUCCAAGUAGACAACAUUCAUUUUCCUUGUAACCUCCUAAUAAAACUCUCCGAGUCUGGUUAAGCAUGAUGACUAUCCCUAAUCAAGCUUUUUCUAUCCAAAUAAUUAUACAGUAUACCCUGUCCCAUAGAAUACCUUCCCAUAAUUUACCACAACCGAUAUCAAGCUCACUAGCCUGUAAUUUACUGGCUUAUUCAGAGCCUUUCUCGAACAAUAGAAGAAAAUUUGCUAUCCUCAAGUCCUCUGGCACUUCACCCGUGGCUAACGAUAUUUUAAAUAUUUCUGUAAUUUUUGCAGUAACCUCCCUCAAGGUCCAUGGGGAUUUAUCCACCCUAAUUUGCUUCAAGAUAACAAACACCUCGUUUUAUAAUCUAGUUAUGGUCCACGAUCACACUACUCUUCCCUCAGUUCUACAGACUACGUCCGUCUCCCAAGCAAAUACAGAUGCAAAAUAACAUUUAAUAUUUCCCCCAUCUCUUUUGACUUCAUGCAGACGACCACAGUGAUCUUCAAGAGAACCAACCACUAUGCUGUUCUUAAUAUAUCUGUAGAAGCCCUUGGUACUCUCUUUCACGUCAUCUUUCAGAGCAACUUCAUGUCCUCCUAGAGCCCUCCUCUUUUCUCCCAGAUGUUCUCUUGCAUUUUUUAUAUAAUCCUCAACACCUUACAACUGCCUAUACCUAAUAUGAGCUUCCUCCUUCUUAACAAAGGCCUCAAUGCCCCUCAGAAACCAAGAAUCCUAAAUCUGUUAGCCUUGCUUUUUAUUCAAACAGGAACAAACAAUUCUUUAAUCACUUUUGAAGCCUUCCACUUAACAAACACCCCUUUGCCUGAAAACAACUUGUCCCAAUCCACAUGUGCCAGUUCUCUUCUAAUGCCAUCAAAACUGGCCAUUCUCCAAUUCAGAAUCUCAACCCAGGGACCAGACCUAUCCUUCUCCAUAAUUAUCUUGAAACCAUUAGAAUUCUGAUCACUAGCUCCGAAGUGUUCCCCUACACUUAUUUUACUUCCAACUGUUAAUGCUCUACAAAUUUGCUCCUUUAAAUCCUGCUGACUAUUGAGAGGUUUAUAAUAUAGUCAUCUUUCUUAUUCCUCUAUUCCAGCCAUACUGCCUCAGAAGAUGGGCCCACCAGUAGUAUUCCCUGAGCACUGCUGUGACAAUUCCCUGAUGAGCAAUGCUACCCCUCCCCCUUACCCCUCUGUCAGGUCUGAAACAACAGAACCCCAGAACACUCCAAGUCUUACCCCUCCUGCAGCCAAGUCUCACUAAUGGCUACAACAUCAUAAUUCUAUGUGCUUAGCCACGCUUUUAAAGGUCAUCUGCUUUACCUACAAUAAUCCUUAAUUGAAAUAUACGCAACUCAGAACAUCAGCCCCACUAUCCUCAGCCUUUCAGUUUCUAUCUUUGCAUGUAGGCUUAAUAUCUACUUUCUUCAGAGGCACUCCACUUGCUGCCCUGCCACCCUAGUUCCCAGCCCCCUUCUCCCCAGAGCAACACUAGCAAACCACACCACAAGGAUUCCCCUGCACUUCAGCUGCAAACCAUCCCAUUUGUAUAGGUCCCACCAUCCCUGGAAAUGGGCAUAAUGGUCUGGAUUUCUGAAAACCUCCCUCCUGCACCAUCUCCUUAGCCACAUAGGAUUUUCAGAACAUUUUUAGAGAAACCAUUGACAUUAAUUUGCCAGUGUACUGAGAUAUCUUUGCAGGUAGUCCAUGCCUCAGACGUCCAUAGAAGGGGAGUGAUCACAGCUGCCCAGUAGACCAUGAAUUAGUAGCACCAAGCAUUCUGCUGGAGGAGCUCAGUAGAUUGAGCAACUAUGGUGGUAUUGGGGGUGGGGAGAGGAAGGAUUUCUGGACACUUUAUGUCUCAACCCUGCAUUCCUGCUGACUGUGACUUUAUCCUGGAUUUGACAUCUCAACUUUCAAAUCUGGUUUCAGAGAUGGCCCAAGGCAGCUUGGCACACUAAACAACAAGGUCUUGUACCCCUUAAGACUAACUGAGGUUCUUUUAAAUAGGGAUCUUUCUCACCAUCUUCUCCAUGGUCACCCUAUCACCAACCCUAUUUCCCUAAAUGGGGGGCAAAAAUUAAAUUGAGUACCAUUUAAUAUGGGCCUAAACAAGUUCAAAUGAUCAGCAUUUUAUAUGGUAAACACCAUGCCCAUAAAUACAAAUUAUACAGGAUGGUGCUGCUAAAACAAACCAAUAUCUUGCUCCCUUUAGCAAUGAAUUUUUCUCAUUACUCAACAUUAUGACCAGAAUACAAUAACCUUUUUUUCCCCUCACUUUUGCUUUGUUCUCCUUGUAAACGGCAUGUACUGUGUUGACCCUAAUAUGAACACCAGUAUAUUUACUAAAAUUAAAAGCCAUUUGCCUGUUCGUAGUCCACUAACCUCGCACUUCUAAAAUUCUUCUAAGUAUUUUCAAACCUCUACUUCCUUAGCAAUGCAAAGGUAUUGGCAUCAUCUUCAAAUUUACAUCCCAAAUACCCAGAAUCACUGUCGUGAGAUAUAACCUGGUGUGAAGGUCGUGUACUGGUCUUUCUUCGUUCAGAGAGUAUCCAAUGGAUUCCCCUCCAAGCUUUGCUAAAAAAAGUUUGAUCAUUUCUGAUAAUUUGUUCAACGUUCACAAAACACUCCUUCAUGUUAUCUCUUAUAACCUCCUUCCCAAAUUGGCCUGGUUUCCUAGCAUUUUGUAUCCUUUUUUAGAGAGCACAUACUUACUCUUCCCAACACUACUGACCCAUUCAGGAAUAGAAAUGGAAUCGAGAGCACCUACAUAAUUCAGUGUUCCAAUGCAUGGAUGAAGGGAACCCACCCCAUUAUCUAUUUUGUCGGGUAGUUGUUAAAUAAACCCAUUGUCUAUCCUGAUCCAUUCAUACAGAAAACACCAUUUGUAAUAGGAGAAAACAGGUAAGUGUCAGGGUUGCUCCUUUCAAACACUGUUCACCAGCCAUAGAAGAAAGUGCAUCACCUGUAGAUUUUAUUUAAACACACUGAACCAACUGUGGAAUCAUGACCAAAGCCUAAUCAACUCAUCCAUCACAGGCUGCAUUGGUGAUCUAGAACUCACAAAGUCCUAAGAUGAACAACUCUGAUGGGCAGAAGGGUGCAGAGUCGCCAAUGCCCCCUCCCCUUUUGGAGAAUCGCAAAUCGCUACUAUUUCAAUGCUGUUAUCAAGGAAGUAAGAGAGACAAAGGAAACCUGCCAGGGCAGUUGUUAUUGAUAACAGCUCAUGAAAGUUAAUGAGAGAGAGACAUAGCUAAGAGGUGCCACAAAAGAGGAGCGGAACCACUGAUUACUACUAUUGUCUUUUGGAGAAGGAUUGUUUACUUGGCACUGUUUUAUUCAUUGAAAACCCUCAGGGGGCAACCAGAGUGGGCUGGUUUGAUGGGUUACAUCAUCCCAACCUGAUUGACACCUGAGACCCCGUGAGUGGGGAUAAAAGUGAGGUCUGGGGUAACUCCCCUCAGAUGCACCAGGAGAAAUGCUAGUGAGCAUCAGAACCUCCACGAGACAGGGUGGGAGACCGGAGACUGAACGAAGGGUCGGUAAAUUUUAACUCACAGUGUGUUGUAGCAAGACCGGUGGGGGCUUGUGUGUGUGUCCACCCUUGCCUGGGUGACGAGUCCACCAUGGAAGAACGGUCUAGCUAAAGGACGGAGGGGUCAUACGUGAAUGGCCACCACAACAACGCAUCGAUGGAUCAAAAUCAUAAAGGAAGGUUGGCAAGAUAAUCGCUGUUAUUGUUCACGUUUUCUCUUUCUCUCUUGCUCUCUCUCUCCAACAAUUGCAACACAUCGACAAACAACUACCGCAGCCUGCAUGAACUGAACUUUAUAUUUCCAUCUGACAAUUCAUUAUCCCCUAGUCAACGAUAGAGCUUGUUUCAUUAGUGAUUAUUAUUAUACCUGCACUUUUAGGUCUAGUAUUGCUAACGUAUAUUCUCUGUAUAUUCGCAUUGAUAUUAUUUUGUAUAUUUUUGCUAAUAAAUAUUGUUGGAAAUAGUAUCACCAGACUCCAAAGGACACUUCUAUCUUUGCUGGUAAAACACCCAGUUACGGGGUACGUAACAGUUCCAAAGGUCUCAGUCAAGCACAGGCAUUCCAGACAAUCAAAUAGGCUAAGUAAUCUUAACAUUGCAUGCUUGAAAGGGUUGAGAGAUCCCUAGCUCCAUAGAGUUAUGGUGAUGCAGUGAGGGACCACUGUGAAUCGUGGAGAGGACAAUUGGAAGAGUGUCUUGACUAUGGCAUCCAGCUUCCUGCUCAAAAACCAAGAAAAUAGUAGCAGUUAUUUGUAGUCAGCGUAUUAGAAAAUCUGUCCAAUAUUCUCUUAUAUAGUAUGGUGUCAUUAAAAAAUGCCAGUAAAGAAGCUUGGGCAUUUUACUAGGUUUACUAUGCAGUAGAUAUACAAGCUCGUUUAAAUGUAUUAAGGUAAAUUGUCCAUUGAGGCAAUUUUACUACACAAUAUGUGUACUUUUCCAACCCAAAUGAACACUUUGUCAGCUACCAUCUUCAAUCCUCUGCUUCAUUUAGCUAUUAUUGGAUGGAACAACUUUCGGCAAAAGUCUAUAAGAAGCUUCCGUAACCCCAUAGCAGCUGUGAUUUAGAACUGCAAAUCUUUCAACGUCAAACUCAGAGUCUACAAUGCCAAAAUUAUACAAAGAUUUAACUGGCAGACCACUUUCACAAUAUGCCUUUUGUAAUUGAUUACAAUAAUUUGAUCAAAUUUACAAUAUGAAUAUUCAAAAUUCUCUUGGUUUGGUAAUGAAGAUUCAUUUUCAGGUAAGCAAACACAGAGAGAAGUCACAAGAAUAGCUCAAAGUGUUUGCAACACCUUCAGUUAACACUUUAUUCAUUAAUGAAUACAAACUGGGAUCUAGAAACAAAAAGUUCUUGAAGUGUUAAGAAACAUCCAAUCACUGAACAAUGUGUUUCUUCAUUUCCCAACUGAUAGGGGAAAAAACACUACAGUAAUAUUGAGAGUUUUGGGAAAUCAGUAACAGGGAAGAGAGCAGCUCAUCUGAUGAAAUAUGCAGGAAUAUGUCCAAACAGAGUUGUUAACUCUGCACAAAAUCCUUUCUGCACAUGAGCAUGUUGUCUCACCAAGAAUGAAUUUCCCAGUAUGAACAGGUCAGUCUAGUAGAAAGAUUUGAACAACAUAUGACAGCUAAGGAGGAUUAUCUGUAUUUGUAACCAGUUCAGUAGUACGAGAAAAGAAUUCUUGUUCAAUGACAUCAUGUUCUACUUAAUAAUAAAGUGAUAUUUCAAGUUCAUCUUAUUGCACUAUACAUCAUAGAUA